ensembl:snRNA U2 U2 spliceosomal RNA
UCUAGUGUAGUAUCUGUUCUUAUCAGUUUAAUAUCUGAUACAUCCUCUAUACGAGGAC